UACAGGGGGUGCAAACGUUGCUCGGAAUUAUUGGGCGUAAAGCGCGCGUAGGCGGCCGCUUAAGUCGGAUGUGAAAGCCCCUGGCUCAACUGGGGAAGUGCACCCGAAACUGAGUGGCUUGAGUACUAAAGAGGGUCGCGGAAUUCCCGGUGUAGAGGUGAAAUUCGUAGAUAUUGGGAGGAACACCAGUGGCGAAGGCGGCUACCUGGACCGGUUCUGACGCUGAGGCGCGAAAGCGUGGGUAGCAAACAGG
rnacentral:rRNA from 1 species